GGAGACGUGGCUGAGUGGUCGAAAGCACCUCGCUGCUAAUGAGGCAGGGGAGAAAUCCUCUCGUGGGUUCAAAUCCCACCGUCUCCGCCA
rnacentral:tRNA from 4 species